rnacentral:tRNA from 3 species
GUCCCCGUGGUGUAACGGAUAACAUACCUGCCUUCGAAGCAGUUGACUGGAGGUUCGAUUCCUCCCGGGGACA